rnacentral:rRNA from 1 species
UACGUAGGGUGCGAGCGUUAAUCGGAAUUACUGGGCGUAAAGCGUGCGCAGGCGGUGAUGUAAGACAGAUGUGAAAUCCCCGGGCUCAACCUGGGAACUGCAUUUGUGACUGCAAGGCUGGAGUGCGGCAGAGGAGACUGGAAUUCCUGGUGUAGCAGUGAAAUGCGUAGAUAUCAGGAAGAACACCCGUGGCGAAGGCGGCUCUCUGGGACGGUACUGACGCUGAGACGCGAAAGCGUGGGGAGCGAACAGG